CAGCUCAGCGGGGCUGACCACGGGGCCGGGGCAGACAGGCACGGCCCGGCCCAGCGCGACCACGGAGUCCAGUUCUGGGGCCUUGGCCUCUCCUCCCCUGGGCCACAGGCCCCAGCUGGGACCCACAGGAGGGACUCUCACAGCCAGACCCCCCGAGGGGCCUGCCUGGCCAUCACCUGAUCUCGGCUUCCCGAGUGGCUCAGUGGUAAAGAAUCCGCCUGCCAAUACAGGAGACUCGGGUUCAAUCCCCCGGGUCGGAAAGAUUCCCUGGAGGAGGGCAUGGCAACCCACUCCAGUAUUCUUGCCUGGAGGAUCCCAUCGACAGGGGGGCCUGGCAGGCUGCAGUCCAGGGGAUUGCCAAGAGUCGGACACGACGGAGCCCCCGAGCACAGUGGCGACAGGCAUAGGCCAGAGCCUCUGUCACCUUCGCCGUUUCCAAGUGUACAGUCGGUGGGAUGAGUCACCUUCAGUUUGUGCAGCCACCACCCCUGUCUGCUCCCGGAAACUUGUCACCCUCCCGAUCUGAAAUUCUGCGUCUGUAAAACAAUCGCCCCCAACUCUGUCCCCACUGCUGGGUUUCAGUCUGAACAGAUGUGCCCGUGUGGAGCAUUCCCCACAGAUGGAAUCACACCGCUCUUGUCCUUCUGUGACUUCACACAGCGUCUUGUUCCCAAGGCUCGUCCGUGUGGUCACGGCGUCUGCUUCAUCCCUCGCUGGCUGAACACUGUUCCACUGAGCGGCCGGACCGCCGGUGUCAUUCACCCGACAUUCGUCAGUGGCUGGACACCCGGGUUGUUCCCCGUUUUCGGUUAUUGUGAAGAAUAAUAAUGAUGGCCUGUUCUCAGC